rnacentral:misc_RNA from 1 species
UGCGACUUCACAUAAUUUUCUUCUCUAAUUUUUGUUAGAGCAGAAAUAUCCUAGUGUGAUUUUUUUUUUCAAAUAUUGUUGAGAAUCGGGGGCUUAGGAGUGUGGAUCAAAAAACAGACUGACCUCCAUGUUGAAUAGGGCUAAAAACUUGGGCUAUCCAUCACCAAAAUGGCUAAGGCCAUUUUGGUUUGGUUUGCCUUAGUUUAUAUGCCCUUCUUAUUUUCUUAGCUUGGCCGAUGUGGGACUUGUGGGUUCCUUCAAUAUUUUAACCCCCCCUUCAUGUGCAAUUGGGUAAGGGUUCAG